CACACACCGCCCGUCAAGCCACGAAAGUUGGUUUCUCCCGAAGUCGCCAAGCUAACCGCAAGGAGGCAGGCGCCGAAGGAGCGGUCGAUGAUUGGGACU
rnacentral:rRNA from 1 species